rnacentral:rRNA from 3 species
CUUUAUUGGAGAGUUUGAUCCUGGCUCAGGAUGAACGCUGGCGGCGUGCCUAAUACAUGCAAGUCGAGCGAAUGGAUUGAGAGCUUGCUCUUAUGAAGUUAGCGGCGGACGGGUGAGUAACACGUGGGUAACCUGCCCAUAAGACUGGGAUAACUCCG